rnacentral:rRNA from 1 species
AACUUCGGCCCCUGCUGGCCGGUCCGCCUUCUUGGUGUGUACUUGCUCAGCGGGGGCUUACCUCCUGGUGAGCGGCGAUGUCCUUUACUGGGUGUCGUCGGGAACCAGGACAUUUACUUUGAAAAAAUUAGAGUGUUCAAAGCAGGCCUACGCCCGAAUACAUUAGCAUGGAAUAAUAAAAUAGGACGCGCGUUCCCAUUUUGUUGGUUUCUGAGAUCGCCGUAAUGAUUAAUAGGGAUAGUUGGGGGCAUUUGUAUUCCGUCGUCAGAGGUGAAAUUCUUGGAUUGCCGGAAGACAAACUACUGCGAAAGCAUUUGCCAAGGAUGUUUUCAUUGAUCAAGAACGAAGGAAGGGGGAUCGAAAACGAUCAGAUACCGUUGUAGUCUCUUCUGUAAACUAUGCCAAUUGGGGAUUGGUACAGGAUUUUUAAUGACUGUAUCAGCACCCGAAGAGAAAUCUUUAAAUGAGGUUCGGGGGGGAGUAUGGUCGCAAGGCUGAAACUUAAAGG